GUUGCCUAAAUGUGGCAAUAGAAUAAUUUUUUUUUUCCAUUUCUAACUUGGAAGAGGAUUCUUCCAACAAUUUUUCAUUUAGGGAAUGCACCACACUCUCGAUGUGCGUACAGAGAAGAUGGCUGGCUGGCUGGAUCCAGGGUUUUAAUGUUUCCAGCAUGAAGGCAGGGACUCGCUGAGGUUACGUGAACCGGUCUCCAACCAUUGAUAUUGGCCCAUUUACUUAUUUCACAGGACAAGAGCAUGGGAACAACCAUCUCCUGGAAUGGCCCUUCCACAGGAAGAGAGGAGGACACAUGGCACAGAGGAAGGAUGGGGCACCUGGAUUCAAAAUCUGCUUACACCAUCCACGGAGCCUGGGAUGUUGAAGAAUUAGUUUUUUCUCUUGGAACUUGCUUUCCUUACUUGUAAAAUAAAGUUAAUCCUACAAAC
rnacentral:lncRNA from 1 species